rnacentral:rRNA from 1 species
AUUGAACGCUGGCGGCAGGCUUAACACAUGCAAGUCGAGCGGAGAGAGGUAGCUUGCUACUGAUCUUAGCGGCGGACGGGUGAGUAAUGCUUAGGAAUCUGCCUAUUAGUGGGGGACAACAUUUCGAAAGGAAUGCUAAUACCGCAUACGUCCUACGGGAGAAAGCAGGGGAGCUUCGGACCUUGCGCUAAUAGAUGAGCCUAAGUCGGAUUAGCUAGUUGGUGGGGUAAAGGCCUAACAAGGCGACGAGCUGUAGCGGGUCUGAGGGGAUGAUCCGCCAGCCGGGGACAGAGAAACGGCCCAGACUCCGACGGGAGGCAGCAGUGGGGAAUAUUGGACAAUGGGCGCAAGCCUGAUCCAGCAAUGCCGAGUGUGUGAAGAAGGCCUUCGGGUUGUAAAGCACUUUCAGUAGGGAGGAAGGGUGUUGUGUUAAUAGCACAGCAUUUUGACGUUACCUACAGAAGAAGCACCGGCUAACUCUGUGCCAGCCGCCACCGUAAUAC